rnacentral:rRNA from 1 species
CCGGCGACCGGCGCACGGGUGAGUAACACGUAUGCAACCUGGCCGUGACAGAUGGAUAACCGGGAGAAAUCCCGCCUAAUACAACAUAAUGCCGGGAGGGGACAUCCCCUGCCGGUCAAAGGGGGCGACCCCGGUCAUGGAUGGGCAUGCGGCGCAUCAGGUAGUUGGUGGGGCAACGGCCCACCAAGCCGACGAUGCGUAGGGGUUCUGAGAGGAAGGUCCCCCACAUUGGAACUGAGACACGGUCCAAACUCCUACGGGAGGCAGCAG